rnacentral:rRNA from 1 species
UACGUAGGGUGCGAGCGUUAAUCGGAAUUACUGGGCGUAAAGCGUGCGCAGGCGGUUCGCCAAGUCAGGUGUGAAAUCCCCGGGCUUAACCUGGGAACUGCAUUCGAGACUGCAUUGCUAGAGUAUGGGAGAGGGAAGUGGAAUUUCCGGUGUAGCGGUGAAAUGCGUAGAUAUCGGAAGGAACAUCAGUGGCGAAAGCGACUUCCUGGACCAAUACUGACGCUCAUGUGCGAAAGCGUGGGGAGCAAACAGG